rnacentral:tRNA from 1 species
AGGAUAAUAGUUAAAUUAACACUUAAUUUGCAUUUAAAAAAUAUUGAUAUAAAUCAAUUUAUCUUA